rnacentral:rRNA from 1 species
AACCAGCACCUCAAGUGGUCAGGAUGAUUAUUGGGCCUAAAGCAUCCGUAGCCUGUCCUGUAAGUUUUCGGUUAAAUCUAUGCGCUCAACGUGUAGGCUGCCGAAAAUACUGCAGAACUAGGGAGUGGGAGAGGUAGACGGUACUCGGUAGGAAGGGGUAAAAUCCUUUGAUCUAUUGAUGACCACCUGUGGCGAAGGCGGCUCACUGGCUCGAUACUGACGCUGAGGUACGAAAGUGUGGGGAGCAAACCGG